rnacentral:rRNA from 1 species
UACGUAGGGUGCAAGCGCUGUCCGGAAUUAUUGGGCGUAAAGAGCUUGUAGGCGGUCUGUCGCGUCGGCUGUGAAAUCCCGAGGCUCAACCUCGGGUCUGCAGUCGAUACGGGCAAACUAGAGUAUUGCAGGGGAGACUGGAAUUCCUGGUGUAGCGGUGAAAUGCGCAGAUAUCAGGAGGAACACCGGUGGCGAAGGCGGGUCUCUGGGCAAUAACUGACGCUGAGGAGCGAAAGCGUGGGUAGCGAACAGG